rnacentral:rRNA from 1 species
UAAGACACGCCCAUACUCCCUGCGGGAGGCAGCAGUGGGUAAUUUUCCGCAAUGGCAAAAGCCUGGGGAGCAAUCCGCCUGAGGAAAAAAGGCUUAGGGUUAAAAACGUCCAGUAGAGUUUGAUCCUGGCUCAGGAUGAACGCUGGCGGUAUGCUUAACACAUGCAAGUCGAACGGGAUGCUUAGGCAUCUAGUGGCGGACGGGUGAGUAACGCGUUAGAAUCUGGCUCCAGGUCGGGGAUAACAGUUGGAAACGACUGCUAAUACCGGAUGUGCCGAAGGUGAAAGAUUUAUUGCCUGAGAUGAGCUCGCGUCUGAUUAGCUAGUUGGUGGUGUAAGGGACCACCAAGGCGUCGAUCAGUAGCUGGUCUGAGAGGAUGAUCAGCCACACUGGGACUGAGACACGGCCCAGACUCCUACGGGAGGCAGCAGUGGGGAAUUUUCCGCAAUGGGCGAAAGCCUGACGGAGCAAUACCGCGUGAGGGAGGAAGGCUCUUGGGUCGUAAACCUCUUUUCUCAAGGAAGAAGAAAGUGACGGUACUUGAGGAAUAAGCAUCGGCUAACUCCGUGCCAGCAGCCGCGGUAAUACGGAGGAUGCAAGCGUUAUCCGGAAUGAUUGGGCGUAAAGGGUCUGCAGGUGGAACUGAAAGUCUGCUGUUAAAGAGUUUGGCUUAACCAAAUAAAAGCGGUGGAAACUACAGAACUAGAGUGCGGUAGGGGCAAAAGGAAUUCCUGGUGUAGCGGUGAAAUGCGUAGAUAUCAGGAAGAACACCGGUGGCGAAAGCGUUUUGCUAGACCGUAACUGACACUGAGGGACGAAAGCUAGGGGAGCGAAUGGGAUUAGAUACCCCAGUAGUCCUAGCCGUAAACGAUGGAUACUAGGCGUGGCUUGUAUCGACCCGAGCCGUGCCGGAGCUAACGCGUUAAGUAUCCCGCCUGGGGAGUACGCACGCAAGUGUGAAACUCAAAGGAAUUGACGGGGGCCCGCACAAGCGGUGGAGUAUGUGGUUUAAUUCGAUGCAACGCGAAGAACCUUACCAAGACUUGACAUCCUGCGAAUUCCGGUGAAAGCUGGGAGUGCCUUAGGGAGCGCAGAGACAGGUGGUGCAUGGCUGUCGUCAGCUCGUGUCGUGAGAUGUUGGGUUAAGUCCCGCAACGAGCGCAACCCUCGUUUUUAGUUGCCAGCAUUAAGUUGGGCACUCUAGAGAGACUGCCGGUGACAAACCGGAGGAAGGUGAGGAUGACGUCAAGUCAGCAUGCCCCUUACGUCUUGGGCUACACACGUACUACAAUGCUACGGACAGAGGGCAGCAAGCCAGGGAUGGCAAGCGAAUCCAGAAACCGUAGCUCAGUUCAGAUCGAAGGCUGCAACUCGCCUUCGUGAAGGAGGAAUCGCUAGUAAUUGCAGGUCAGCAUACUGCAGUGAAUUCGUUCCCGGGCCUUGUACACACCGCCCGUCACACCAUGGAAGUUGGUCACGCCCGAAGUCAUUACCCCAACCGAAAGGAGGGGGAUGCCUAAGGUAGGACUGGUGACUGGGGUGAAGUCGU